GCAGGGGUCGCCCAGUUGGUCAAAGGCGCCGGGCUUAGGACCCGGUCUCGUAGGAGUUCGAGGGUUCAAAUCCCUUCCCCUGCACCA
rnacentral:tRNA from 1 species